AGUGAACGCUGGCGGUAAGCCUAACACAUGCAAGUCGAACGGCAGCACAGUAAGAGCUUGCUCUUACGGGUGGCGAGUGGCGGACGGGUGAGGAAUACAUCGGAAUCUACUUUUUCGUGGGGGAUAACGUAGGGAAACUUACGCUAAUACCGCAUACGACCUACGGGUGAAAGCAGGGGAUCUUCGGACCUUGCGCGAUUGAAUGAGCCGAUGUCGGAUUAGCUAGUUGGCGGGGUAAAGGCCCACCAAGGCGACGAUCCGUAGCUGGUCUGAGAGGACGAUCAGCCACACUGGAACUGAGACACGGUCCAGACUCCUACGGGAGGCAGCAGUGGGGAAUAUUGGACAAUGGGCGCAAGCCUGAUCCAGCCAUACCGCGUGGGUGAAGAAGGCCUUCGGGUUGUAAAGCCCUUUUGUUGGGAAAGAAAAGCAGCAGGUUAAUACCCCGCUGUUCUGACGGUACCCAAAGAAUAAGCACCGGCUAACUUCGUG
rnacentral:rRNA from 1 species